GAUGAACGCUGACAGAAUGCUUAACACAUCAGCAAUUGAUUGGUGGCGGACGGGUGAGUAACGAGUAAAGAACUAGCCUCACAGCUAGGGACAACAUUUGGAAACGAAUGCUAACACCUAAUACUGUGAGAGAGCUUUGCGUCCCAUUAGCUAGUUGGAGAGGUAACGGAGCACCAAGGCGAGGAUGGGUCGCCGGCCUGAGAGGGUGAUCGGCAACAAGGGCACUGAGACACAGCCCUUACUCCUACGGGAGGCAGCAGUGAGAAAUAUUGGACAAUGGACCAAAGUCUGAUCCAGCAAUUCUGUGGGCACGAUGAAGUUUUCGGAAUGUAAAGUGCUGUCAGUUGCGAAGCGGUACCAACAGAAGAAGUGACGGCUAAAUACGUGCCAGCAGCCGCGGUAAUUC
rnacentral:rRNA from 1 species